rnacentral:lncRNA from 10 species
UGAUGUGAGGGCAAUCUGGCUGCGGCAUCUGUCACCCCAUUGAUCACCAGGGUUGAUUCGGCUGAUCUGACUGGUUAGACGGGUGUCCCCUUCCUCCCUCACUGCUCCAUAUGCAUCCCUCCCAAAGCUGCAUGCUCUGUCAAAGAGGAUGACCAUCCCCGACAGAGGAGGACCAGUCUUCAGUCAAGGGCAUACGAGUACCUCCGCUCCCAUGCUAGAACCUCCAAACAAGCUAUCUAUCAUCUAUCUAUCUAUCUAUCUAUCUAUCUAU